AAGUGCCCUAUACCGUGAACCGUACGUACGGUGUUGUGAGAGGGGCAAAAAAAAUUUAAUUUAUUUUUCCUCUACUCGAU
rnacentral:autocatalytically_spliced_intron from 2 species